rfam:Brassica rapa chromosome A1, whole genome shotgun sequence.
AUUGAUUAGUUGAUUUAUUUUCUGAUUAUUUGGAUUGUGUUCACAUCAGCUUUGUCUCUGGCUUAGGCCUUGAGAUUCUAGUUAAACUAUAACACUAAAUUU